AAAACCUGCAUGAGCAUUUAUCGGAAAUAAAGUCAUCUCCGAGCUGUUCGGCGCCACAACCCACCCUCGGAAAGUCUCGGAAUCUAAGCUAAAUCCGGCGCUGCGGUUUUGAAGAUCAGCCAAGUUAUCUGCAGGUGCCGAGCAAAUGCUGCGGACUGUGGAUUUGCAGAUUUGCGCGAGACGUUUAUGUACAGCAUCACCGUGCAUUCAGUUCUUGUGCAAUAAUCAGGGCUACGAUUUCGCCAAAAUGACGAAGACGACUCCUCUGGAACUUAUUAAUCGCGGACUCGAAACGGAAUCGACUAAGUUUAUUCACGCUUAUCUCGGAACUUACGGAAGCGCAGAACGAAGAUGUCCGGGCGUAUGCCGCAACGUCACCGUCAGUCCCAAUACCGUAUCGGCCAUACCACCGAGCACUCACUGUCUCUCUCUGGUAUUCACCCCAAUCCUGUUUGCGAAUAAUUCAUUAAGAUACGACGCUCUCCAUCUAGGUCCUCGACAGAGUAGACUAAUGAAAUGAAAGUCCAGCGGAAAGUGUUAAUUAUAAUAGUUCUAAAUUGGAAGCCCUACAGGCUCUCAAAUGUAUCGUUGAAUGUUGUUACACUAAUAAAUGCAAAAAGUCCUUGUUUGA